GACGAACGCUGGCGGCGUGCCUAAUACAUGCAAGUCGAACGCUGAAGGAGGAGCUUGCUUCUCUGGAUGAGUUGCGAACGGGUGAGUAACGCGUAGGUAACCUGCCUGGUAGCGGGGGAUAACUAUUGGAAACGAUAGCUAAUACCGCAUAAGAGUAGAUGUUGCAUGACAUUUGCUUAAAAGGUGCAAUUGCAUCACUACCAGAUGGACCUGCGUUGUAUUAGCUAGUUGGUGAGGUAACGGCUCACCAAGGCGACGAUACAUAGCCGACCUGAGAGGGUGAUCGGCCACACUGGGACUGAGACACGGCCCAGACUCCUACGGGAGGCAGCAGUAGGGAAUCUUCGGCAAUGGACGGAAGUCUGACCGAGCAACGCCGCGUGAGUGAAGAAGGGUUUCGGAUCGUAAAGCUCUGUUGUAAGAGAAGAACGAGUGUGAGAGUGGAAAGUUCACACUGUGACGGUAUCUUACCAGAAAGGGACGGCUAACUACGUG
rnacentral:rRNA from 1 species